AUUGAACGCUGGCGGCAGGCCUAACACAUGCAAGUCGAGCGAGCGGCGGACGGGUGAGUAAUGUAUGGGGACUGCCCGAUAGAGGGGGAUAACUACUGGAAACGGUGGCUAAUACCGCAUACUAUCGGAUAACCCAUAUGGGAUUAGCUAGUAGGUGGGGUAAAGGCUCACCUAGGCGACGAUCUCUAGCUGGUCUGAGAGGAUGAUCAGCCACACUGGGACUGGGACACGGCCCAGACGCCUACGGAGGCAGCAGUGGGGAAGAUUGCACAAUGGGCGCAAGCCUGAGACAGACAUGCCGCGUGUAUGAAGAAGGCCUUAGGGUUGUAAACUCCUUUCACCAUCUACGCGGUAGAUGGAGAAGAAGCACCGGCUAACUACGUGCCAGCAGCCGCGGUAAUAC
rnacentral:rRNA from 1 species